rnacentral:rRNA from 1 species
UACAGAGGUCCCAAGCGUUGUUCGGAUUCACUGGGCGUAAAGCGCGUGUAGGCGGCUUUGCAAGUCGGGUGUGAAAGCCCUCAGCUCAACUGAGGAAGUGCGCCCGAAACUGCAGAGCUUGAGUACCGGAGAGGAUGGCGGAAUUCCCGAAGUAGAGGUGAAAUUCGUAGAUAUCGGGAGGAACACCGGUGGCGAAGGCGGCCAUCUGGACGGAUACUGACGCUGAGACGCGAAAGCGUGGGGAGCAAACAGG